UUUAGUAAUUUAUCUUAAGGUGGCUGAAAAAUUUCUUAUUAUGUCUUUAUUUGUGUAAACCCCAUAACUGGGAACAACUAUACUGAGAAGGCUCUGUCACCAGGUGUCUUGAUAUUCUCUUAGUAAUUCUCAUUUAAUUCUAUGGAAAGCAGGAAAUUCUUUAUGGUUGGGAUGGAUGGAAAGGGACCACAAGAUGGCUUAGGAGGAAAAGUCUCUCAAAAAUUUGCCAGCUCUUUAGGCAAUCUGUGUGCUUGUCCUGGAUUUGGAGAGUCUGAACUAAUUCUAUAAACUGGCCCUUACAACCUCACACACCCACCUUUUCCUCCAUAGUCUCUGGGCCUAGAGGGAGGGUACAUCUGUUGUUUUAGCAGCAAGGAAAUGGCAAUGGCAAUGAAGAAAAGAUUGGGCGCAAUAAGAUUGCAAAUGAGGGCCAUUCACAGCCUUUGUAGAAUCAUCUCUGGUUUUUACAAUAUCAUGGUUCUGGUUUUCUCAGAAGAAGUAUAACAGUGAGAGAUAAAUAACAUUAAUAAUUUGAGAACCAAAAGAGAAUGUGUGUGUCAGAAUGGAAAAAGGAACCUAUUCCAUUAGGGAGCCAACUAAAAACAUCAUGCAGAAAUUAAUUUUAAUUGAGACAAAAUAUUUAGGAAAAAGUUGCUCUGUAGGUUGGAGACACAAAUUUUAUUUUAUACCAGGAGACUAUUAGAGAUGCUGGUACAAAACUCAAGAAAGGAGUCAGAAUUCUAGACAAACACAUAGCUGUGUCAUAAUCCUACCCAUUUUAUAACUGAGAAGUAUGGGAGAAAAGAUUGUUGUCGCCUCUAAUAUACCCAUUAUAAUCUUCAACCUGCUGAUUACUGGGGGUUAGGAUCAUGGAGGAACAAAACAUAGACAACAGCUAACACAAGAAAAUGGAUUUAAUCAGGUUUAAAGCUUAGUCUUAUGUAAGAAUUUAAGCAUUUCAUUUCAAUAAUGCUUAGUGUCUUGGAAUAAUUGUUCAGGGUCUCAGAUAGCUUCUCUCCCUAAGACAACAUCUGAGUAUGUGGAACAGGGGUGGCUUCUAUGAUCUUAUGGCUUAAGGAAGGCAGGAUUCCCAGAUUUGCAUAUUAUCCCAAGGCUCCUCUGGUUGCCAUGGCGAUGUCCUUUGUUUGCUGGCUGCUGCUGCUCUCUCUCAGCAUUUGGAUUACUUCUCCCACAAUUUAGUCAGAGCCUAGUGAUGCUGCUGGUUAACAAAGCGUCUGGUAUUGGGGAGCCCUUUGGAUAUGAGCUGGAGUCAGCUCAGCCUGGGUGGCUCAUUCUGAGCCUCCAUCUUCACUUCCACGCAGAAGCCUCGCCUGGCAAGCUCCCUAGCAAGAUGCUGUCGGGCUGACAUUUGCCAGCCUUGGGAAAGCUAAACUCAUAGGCUCAGGCCAGCUUUUACUUGAAUAAGCUGCUGUCUCAUUCCUCCCCUGCUUCUCAUUCAUCCUGAAAGAUCUACAUAAAAUUGGCUUGAACACCUCCCCUUCCAAGGCCUGUGGGAGUCAGAAGCCCUUCUCAAGAUUUCUGCACGGCGCUGACCCAGAAACAAAACCGAGCUCCCUGCUUGAUGUCCACUAAAAGCCCAUUCACAUAAAACAUUCAUGAUUUUAAGUGCCUUUAGUGAAGAUUUGAGGAAAGGAUAGCAGCAGAGUGUAUACAGCAGCAACAAAACAACCUCUAAUGGAUCAGGCAGCCUCUCUUGUCUCAAAAUGUUCCUUGGCCACCCACCACUAUGGAAUUUUACUGAAUUUCUUUUUGUCAGCCUUUCUGUAUCCAGUUGGCUCCUCUUUUUCCCUGUUCAGCCCUGUAAUUUCGAUUUUUUUUCUCUCUUCUCCAUUCCUUCUUCACUCUACCUCUUUCUCCUUUUCUUUACCUCCCUUUUCCCUCUUCUUCUCUCUCUCUUCCUCUUUCUUUCUCCCCUCCAAACCCACUAAUGUGCUCUGAGGUAGUGAGCCCUUCACUUAACAAAAAUCCCUCCCUUCCUCCUCCUCCUCCCCACCAUUGCCAAAAGGCAGCAGUGCCAGUUUAUUACCCUGAAACAGAAAGCACGACAUUAAUUUCAAUGUAAUAAAAAUGCUUUAAAAAACA